rnacentral:rRNA from 1 species
GAUGAACGCUGGCGGCGUGCCUAAUACAUGCAAGUCGAGCGAACAGAUGAGGAGCUUGCUCCUCUGACGUUAGCGGCGGACGGGUGAGUAACACGUGGAUAACCUACCUAUAAGACUGGGAUAACUUCGGGAAACCGGAGCUAAUACCGGAUAAUAUAUUGAACCGCAUGGUUCAAUAGUGAAAGACGGUUUUGCUGUCACUUAUAGAUGGAUACGCGCCGCAUUAGCUAGUUGGUAAGGUAACGGCUUACCAAGGCGACGAUGCGUAGCCGACCUGAGAGGGUGAUCGGCCACACUGGAACUGAGACACGGUCCAGACUCCUACGGGAGGCAGCAGUAGGGAAUCUUCCGCAAUGGGCGAAAGCCUGACGGAGCAACGCCGCGUGAGUGAUGAAGGUCUUCGGAUCGUAAAACUCUGUUAUUAGGGAAGAACAAAUGUGUAAGUAACUAUGCACGUCUUGACGGUACCUAAUCAGAAAGCCACGGCUAACUACGUG